GACGAACGCUGGCGGCGUGCUUAACACAUGCAAGUCGAACGGAAAGGCCCCCACCUUGGUGGGGGUGCUCGAGUGGCGAACGGGUGAGUAACACGUGGGUGAUCUGCCCUGUACUUCGGGAUAAGCUUGGGAAACUGGGUCUAAUACCGGAUAGGACCAUGGUUUAGUGUCUCAUGGUGGAAAAAUUAUUGUUUUGGUGCAGGAUGAGCUCGCGGCCUAUCAGCUUGUUGGUGGGGUAAUGGCCUACCAAGGCGUCGACGGGUAGCCGGCCUGAGAGGGUGGACGGCCACAUUGGGACUGAGGUACGGCCCAGACUCCUACGGGAGGCAGCAGUGGGGAAUAUUGCACAAUGGGCGCAAGCCUGAUGCAGCGACGCCGCGUGGGGGAUGACGGCCUUCGGGUUGUAAACUCCUUUCGUUAGGGACGAAGCCACACCUUUUUUGGGUGUGGUGACGGUACCUUUGUUAAGAAGCACCGGCUAACUACGUG
rnacentral:rRNA from 1 species